AAUCGCGGUAAUGUGGGCGGUUCACUACCGGCGACAUUGCGAGAAGUCCACUGAACCUUAUCAUUUAGAGGAAGGAGAAGUCGUAACAAGGUUUCCGUAGGUGAACCUGCGGAAGGAUCAUUGUCGAU
rnacentral:rRNA from 1 species